GAUGAAGAACGCAGUGAAAUGCGAUAAGUAAUGUGAAUUGCAGAAUUCAGUGAAUCAUCGAAUCUUUGAACGCACAUUGCGCCCAUUAGUAUUCUAAUGGGCAUGCCUGUUCGAGCGUCAUUUCAACCAUCAAGCCCCAGGCUUGUGUUGGAGCCCUGCGGCUGCCGCAGCCUCCCAAAACCAGUGGCGGGCUCGCUAUCACACCGAGUGCAGUAGUUUACUCUUCGCUCAGGGCGUGUGGCGGGUGCUAGCCGUAAAACCCCCAACUUCUCAAGGUUGACCUCGGAUCAGGUAGGAAUACCCGCUGAACUUAAGCAUAUCAAUAAGCGGAGGA
rnacentral:misc_RNA from 1 species